rnacentral:tRNA from 2 species
GCGGGCGUAGCUCAAUUGGAUAGAGCAUCAGACUUCGGAUCUGAGGGUUGAGGGUUCGAGCCCUUCCGCCCGCGCCA